GACAGAGGGUGCAAACGUUGUUCGGAAUUACUGGGCGUAAAGUGUGCGCAGGCGGCGUCGCAAGUCGAGUGUGAAAGCCCCGGGCUUAACUUGGGAAUUGCGCUCGAAACUACGAUGCUGGAGUGUGGCAGAGGAGUGUGGAAUUCCUGGUGUAGCGGUGAAAUGCGCAGAUAUCAGGAAGAACACCUAUGGCGAAGGCAGCACUCUGGGACGGUACUGACGCUGAGACGCGAAAGCGUGGGGAGCGAACAGG
rnacentral:rRNA from 1 species